UACGUAGGGAGCAAGCGUUGUCCGGAAUCAUUGGGCGUAAAGCGCGCGUAGGUGGCUUCGUAAGUCGGCUGUGAAAGUCAGGGGCUCAACCCUUGGAAGCCGGCCGAUACUGUCGGACUAGAGUCCGGAAGAGGCGAGUGGAAUUCCCGGUGUAGCGGUGAAAUGCGCAGAUAUCGGGAGGAACACCAAUGGCGAAGGCAGCUCGCUGGGACGGUACUGACGCUGAGGCGCGAAAGCGUGGGGAGCAAACAGG
rnacentral:rRNA from 1 species